GGGUCGCUAGCUCAACUGGCAGAGCAGGGGCCUCUUAAGCCCAAGGUUCGGAGUUCGAUCCUCCGGCGACCCA
rnacentral:tRNA from 1 species